rnacentral:lncRNA from 1 species
GGGACUGCCCAGAGUAUGAGGAGCCUUUUUACAUGGCCUGUCAUGUAGAUUUUAAAAAAUCACUUGAGGUGGAAAGUGCUAUAUGGUUUCCAAAGACAAGUCCCAACACCUGACCCUUUCAUGAGCUGGAGGCGGAUCUGUCAGGGCACCGGUGGUUAGGAGGCGAGGAAGGAACGGAGGCCUCUUCUCCGACCGUCUGCAUGUGCCACGAACAGCUUGAUCGUCUGCAGCAGCCCACAGAAAGGCCUCAGGCCGCAGACAGACUUGAGGCUCUAUCCCGCCCGUCCCAACCCCCAGCACCGGCGUCUGUGCCGUUCCACGCCGGCUCCUGCUGCCAGCCGAGCCCUGAGGUGGGGCGCGGUCUCUGAAGGCACCAGGCUAAGGGGCUGGAAACCAGUGUCCAGUGCCCACUCUCCGCGCGUGUCUUCAGCUUUUCAGGGGAGUCUGUGCCCACAGCUCCACCUCGUUGGAAGCAUCAGGCAGUUAGAAAUCAGCCUUCGGGAAGGCUUCGUCAGUUUCCUUCACGGAGAGAACCCAGGAGCCUGGUGCGCCUGCCCUCUGAGGCUGCGGCGAGCUUUGCGUCUGAAUUCCUUCUCCAGCGUGAGACAAACCGCCCGCUCUGUGCUGCUUGAAGGAUAUUUUUCAAAGUGAGGAAACUGAGGCCACGCGUCAUGGUGUCAUAAUCCACCAAACACAUUUGUCGGACGGUUUUCCUUUUCGUCUUAAUCUCAAGGAACGCAUAUUUACAGCUCAAGUGCAGAGCUGAGCCUGAAAUGCAGGCAUCACCCACCUGAGGCUCAGGCCUAUUAAAAUAUGGACACUGCUUUGCACUUUGUUCGUUGUAAGGAGUCUCUUUCUAGAAAAUAAUAAGCUUGUAUUUGCAAAUACAGAUAAAAGGGCACUUUGGGCUUUAAGAUGCUGGUAAGUU